AGAUUGAACGCUAGCGGGAUGCUUUACACAUGCAAGUCGAACGGCAGCGCGGACUUCGGUCUGGCGGCGAGUGGCGAACGGGUGAGUAAUAUAUCGGAACGUGCCCAGUAGCGGGGGAUAACUACGCGAAAGCGUGGCUAAUACCGCAUACGCCCGUACGGGGGAAAGGGGGGAUCGCAAGACCUCUCACUAUUGGAGCGGCCGAUAUCAGAUUAGCUAGUUGGUGAGGUAAAGGCUCACCGAAGGCGACGAUCUGUAGCGUUGGUUUGAGGAGGACGACCAGCCACACGUGGGACUGAGACGACGGCCAGACCUCCGUACGGGAGCAGCAGGUGGGUAAUUUGGACGAAGUACGGGAACC
rnacentral:rRNA from 1 species